AGCUUUGCGCAGUGGCAGUAUCGUAGCCAAUGAGGUUUAUCCGAGGCGCGAUUAUUGCUAAUUGAAAACAAUACUCUGUUUACACUGAAGAGUUUUUUGUU
rnacentral:snRNA from 1 species